rnacentral:rRNA from 1 species
UACAGAGGGGCAAGCGUUAUUCGGAAUUAUGGGCGUAAAGGGCGCGUAGGCGGCUAUUCAAGUGGCGGGUGAAAUCCCUCGGGCUUAACCGAGGAACUGCCUGCCAGAACUGGAUGGCUUGAGACCGGGAGAGGUGAGUGGAAUUCCCAGUGUAGCGGUAGAAAUGCGUAGAUAUUGGGAGGAACACCAGUGGCGAAGGCGGCUCACUGGACCGGUACUGACG